UGCCUCUGCCUCCCCAGGGCUGGGCUUAAAGUCAUGCCUACAACUGUCUAGCUCAUUUGAUAAUUUUAAGACAUGCCAUGUAAUUGUGGUACUGUGAAAGACUUUGGGGAAAAACAGCUAUUAUAUAUUUUUUUGCAGUGACAAAUUCUGUAAUAAUUCCAUGAGGAAACAGCCUAAGUUAACUUAGCAAUACCCAAAGGAGUCAAUGGUGAGAACCAGGAGUGGCCUGUCUUAGUCAGAUAAUCAUUAAUUCCCAGGGUAGAAGGUAGCAGAACCAGAUGGGGACUUCAUUGGCCCCUCUUCUUCCACUUGAAAGUCACAACAGCAAACAACUGAAGGGAAGUACUUGUGAGAAGACCAAUACAUUAGAACUCUUGGGGGUUUGGGGAUUUAGCUCAGUGGUAGAGCACUUGCCUAGCAAGUGCAAGGCUCUGGGUUCGGUCCUUGGCUCCAGGAAAAAAAAAAGAAAGAAAAAAAAAAGAAUUCUUGGAAUUUUCUGACACAAGCUUUUAAAUCGUGCAUUUCAUCAGUUUUUAGCUCAGGUUUCAUUUCCUAAAACUGACUCUAUUCUUGUUCCACAAGUGAACCUGUUCUGUUUUCUUUAUAUCGUGUAUCAUUCCCUAAAAGUGUCUCAUAUAUUCAUUUACACCCAUGGUUAUUUUAUUCCUCCCACUGGGGAGAAAGGAAUCUUUACAAGGACUGCUCUAGGAAUAUAACAGCCAAAAACAAUGUUCAGUAACUGUUUUCUGAGGUGAUGGCAUACAGUGAAAGUUCAUAAUUUAGCCCAUUUUCCAUUCUGUAUGUGUGGGGGCAAAAAAAAAUCUCUGAAGGCAUUGGUUUUCUGCACCCAACAGUAAAAUUGUAUAUAAUGAGUAUAUAAUGAGUAGAUACAUAUCAUGACUUCUUAUUCCAGACAAUCAACAAUAUACUGACUUUUCACUGUAUCUGAGCUACUAUAAAGGAGUACCUAAAACCAGGUUGUUUAUGAAUUAAAACCAUAUUAGUUAUGCUUCCUGUAGUAGUGAAGUAGAUAACCAAGGGAAGGCACUUGCAGACUCAUUUUAGAGGGAAGCCUCUGUGUAUGCUUACUUAGUGGAUGAAAGAAACAAACAGCAAUUUUUCAUAAGGCACCGAUGCCUUUCAUGAAGGUUCCUUAGUCUCAAGCUAAUCAUAUUCCAGAUGUUCAACUUCCUGACCCCACUACAAUGAGCACAGAAUUUCAAGAUAUGAAUUAGGAGAAGAUGGAAACAUUCACAUUACAACAGACUCCAUUUAAAGAUUAUUCGUGUUUACCAAAGUUAUCUGUAUUUUUAUCUUCCUUUCUCAGUAGGCUCUGUGCUUUAGAAAAGAUAUGCUUUCUCAGAAUAUAUUAGUAGCCAUUAGAUUAGCAUAACUUACUUUUGUUAUGAAAUAAUUAAUGACAAUAAGAAACAGUAAGAAAAUAAAAGCAUCCAUUUUUAUUUUUAUAGCUUUUUGUUAUGUGUUCUGGGAGGAUAAAAGGGCAAAUAUCCCCAUGGCUUUGAAGGAAAAUACAGUGAGCUGGAGGGAAUGAAAAAGAGAGUUGGAAUUCAGGAGGACAAAAAAGUGUACUCCACAUUUCCAUAGUGAAUCCAAACCAACCUUUGGUUAACAACACAGUUAUUUUCUUUGAUUAUUCUUUAGUUUUCACUUUUAUAAUGUUGUAGAGAGAAUAUCUUGAGUAUUGAAUGGAUGCAUCACCUGUCAUUUAAAAAACAUAUGGCCUAUCGGAAAGGGUAAACUGGAAGGUGGGACAUCCGGGAGACAGAAAGAAUUAUGGGAUAGAGCCCGGCACAGAGAUUGGCCCGGAAGAUGUGAGAAAUCAGACGUAGGGCACCUAAGCACUGGAAACCAGCUACAUGGCAGAAUAAGUGGGAGUGUGGAGAGCUGUUGGAAUUUGAAAGCUGAAGACAGAGGAAGAGUAAGUUUUCCUGAAGGUUGUAUCUGUUGGUAGAUUGGCUGGGCUCAAGUGGAAGGCCACAUAUACAAGAGUAUGUAGGCAGCACAAAUUGAAUGGGAUGGGCAGAAAGGAUGCAAAGUUGGGUGUGUAGGGAACGGUGUGUGUGGGUCUGGGGGCAGGGAGCUGAGGGAGAAAAUAUGAUUAAAUACAUUGUAGAAAAUUCUACAACUAAUUAAAAAUUAAGAAAAAAUUAACAGUCGAGCAAAUGGAGUAAUGGAAGACUUCCGAUAUUUGUACAGCAAUUUGAUGACAUGUAUGGAGUGGAAAAUAAAACUUACAGUCAAUUCAAUACUGUUAAAGUACAGUAUCAUGAUCAUGGCUAACACUUUUAAAUGGUUUUCAUAUCCGAAUACUUUCCACAGCCUGCAUAUUACUGUAUGAGCCUGCAACUCAUUGGCUAUGACUAUGUUGGUCUUUGUAUUUCCUUAUCUCUCCAAGUAUCCUCACUUGGCUAGCUUUUCUCUCGGUGCCUUGGAAUAUAUUCUCAACCUGGGCACAUGGCUUAUUUCAUCACGUGAGGACCUAGCUUCAUUUUCACCACCUAGAAUGUCUUUUUUAUUCUACAGCCUUUCAAUGUCAUGACUGCUUCUUAUUCCUCUAGGUAGUAUUUCUGUCGUCACUGGGAUACCCUGAUUUGCUGAGAGCACGAUUUCAUUUCCAAACUCCGGCUGCUGAAACAGGAAUUUCACUGCAUAAACACAGAAGCCAUUGAGGUCUUAUUAGAGGCCGUUGAGUGAGGAGACUUUUGGAAGGGAUACAAACAUUAGUCCCUUAUUUUCUGCCUCCUGUUGAAGAUUUUCACAGCAGGGUGACUGGAAUCUAUGAAGGCAACUUUGUGAGUUAAGGGCUAAAGACCAUGUGGACAACAGGGUACAGCCAUGGAAAACCUUAAAAGCUGAUCUCAGGAAUGCCUGUGAGAAUCUGGACUGCCAACCGUGAUGUGAGUAUGAGGAGAGCCUCUGGUUUGUUUAAGUAGACAUAGCUGUGUCUGUUACUGUCUGUAGAAAAUUUAUGCAUUAUAUAAGGGAAAUUAUAAAUAUUAUAACUCUGUUGGGAGCAAUCCUAAAGAUUCAUUUGUUUGGUUCCAAGCCAUCAGGCUGUUACUUUAUUGAAAAUCACACUUUAAAACUUCCAUUAUUUUUCUGACCCAUACCAGAAUAGCCAAUGACAGUUUCUAAAAGUAGGAUCUUCAAUCUGUAAUGCUAUUUUUAUAACUUUUUUCCUUCUGGUUAGCUAUGUAAUCAUAAAGCUAUUUUUAAAAAAAAAGCACAAAGUAAGAUUGUGUAUAUUCUCUUGCUUUGCACACAAAUAGUAUCCCUUUAUGUUAUAUGCAUUUAAAAUUUUUCCAAGGCAAGUGUAUAUUCUGAAAGCAACGUGGUGCAGAGUGGGGUUUACCUAAAAGCUUGAUGAUUGAAUAACGACUUGGGCUUUGAUCCAAAAAAAUUAAUGAAGAGAAUACAAGUUGGUGAAGGGAAGAGAAACAUAUUUUUUCUUUUGUUUUAGAUACAAACAUUCUGCUUGGAAACAGAGAGGUGCUUCCCUGUAUCUUUACUAGAAGGACUCUGUGGAACACUCACGACCCAUUCCUAUACAGAUAGCAGCUGGAUCAUGUGCCUCUCUAUAGCAAAUGGACAAAAAGGGGAGGCAGAGAUGACUCUUUGUAAGGCAAUCAUCUCUGCUGGGUCAUGGAAGACCAGGGGCAAUUUUCAGGGAUCCCCAGAAUGACUUUCUGUCUGUGUCAAAACAGGAUCUCCAUCAACACCUGUCAUUGCCUUUCGGAGGUCUUUUAGAGUAUGAAUUGGUCUGUUCAAACUCUCAAAUGACACCUGUAGGAAGCAUUCUACUCUUAUUACAAAUCAUUUUACUGACUUCCGAUUCAACAAUUGCUUUGGGGCAGCAGUUAAUGUCCCCAAUGUAUCAGAAGGGAUUCUAGUAACUAUUCUUUAUGUAGAGAGAACUACUCUAGUUUUGUAGAAGAAACUUCCUUUAAUCUCAACAGUCUCUUAACAAUAGGUUUAGGUCAACAGAAACACGCAGGGUACGGACAUAUUUUUUUCUCUUACUGACACAAAUCACGCGCAGAUUCAUCAAGCUGUGAAAUAUAUUAAGUUCACAGGGCUUUAACAAAGGGUUAGAAAACCACAAGAACCUGCUGUGAUUCAAACUACUUUCAGAUGUCCUUUUAAUUAUAUUAAAUGAAAGUUUGGGUUGGCUUUGAUGCUUAUGGGCAAACAAGGAAAUCCAUUGAAAGAACUGCUAAAAGUACUCCCUGUUGCUGUGGUUAAUAUACUACAUUGUAUGCACACUGCCAACCAAUUUAUUCUAGUCACUUUAACAAGGAUAUGCAGCCUGACGGGCCACACAGGAUAGUAUCACGAGUCAGGCAGAGCACAAAUCAUUAGAGGGCUAAGAAAGUUGUUUGACAUGCACCACAGAGCUCUUUGUCACACAGCCAAUUAAGUGACCAAACAAGGAACUUGAAAAUACUCAUUAAUUUCUUCCUAGCAAUAUAAAUGGAACAUAGACUCCUUCUUGUCUCGUGCACCGAAGGCACCCAAGUAAAACUGGCAUAAUUCAAUUUGCACUUUGUCAAGGGUGCGAGCAGCAACUUCGGUUCACAGAGAGUCUGAGUUAGGCGCACGGGAAUGGAAAGCAUGGGUAAAAAGUCUGCAGAUAUUUUUACUAAGGUAUAGAUUUCUGGACUCUGUGUGGAAUUCUUCAUGUCCAUCAACAGUUGGGAGCGCUUUUGCGCUUGAAUUUUUAGGUCAUGGUUUUUUGAGCAGAUGCUGCAGUCUGAGCAUCAUUUCUUCUUCCUUGGGGUGAGGCUGGAGAGUUGGCGACUCAACACCUAACAGAGCAGCAUGCCUCACUUACAGAGGACUCAAGCGCUGUUCCCAGGACCCAUGUCAAGGGAGGCACAACCACCUGGGCCUUGGUAUGGCUAAAAUCUCUAUGAUAUCGCUCUUGAAGUAAAGCAGGACUAUAGACUUUAGGGAGAACAUAUUACCCCUGAGACUUGAGGAGCAGUAGCAAAAGGGUAAAAGGUGUAUUUAUUAACUAAGAAAAUGUUUCAAUCUAAAGCAGGAAGAAAGAACACCAGUAAUUCUUAAUAGUUCUUUCUGAAGAAAAGAACAAUGUUGCUAACAAAUAUUACAAACUGAAGGGUAGAAUUUUAAAGUUGAAAAGAUGAACGACAUUAUGUGUACAUGUAUAACACAUGAGUACACUGGCUCCUAAGCAGUUUGUUUGUAUGUAUAUAUUUAUAUCCUACUUCCCAAUUCUUAUUAAAAUCACACCCAUCUGAUUGGAAGCAUAUGGUCUUUUGAUGGUUCAUGGAUUCCCAAAUGUUACACCAUCUGACUCAUGACCAGAGAGUCCUGAAUCUGCUACUAAGCUUGUGUGUUCCAGCGUGUGUGUGUGUGUGUGUGUGUGUGUGUGUGUGUGUGUGUGUGUGUGUGUGUCAGGAAGAGAGCAGAGUACCCAGGUCGAGAAGUUGGGUGAUAUGGGAAACCUGACAGAUUUUGUAAAAUCCGAAAGAAACAUAAUGUAGGACAUCACUCUGGAAACUAGUCUGAUAACUCUGUCAACAGCUUUUUCUUUUCUUAAAAUUAUGUUUAUAAAUCAGGGUGUCCUUUGAAAAUCUGUUUCUUAAUAUAGCAGUACAAUGUACUGAUAACACAGCCACUGAACAUGGAUGCAUC
rnacentral:sRNA from 1 species